rnacentral:rRNA from 1 species
CCUACGGGCGGCAGCAGUGAGGAAUAUUGGUCAAUGGACGAGAGUCUGAACCAGCCAAGUAGCGUGAAGGAUGACUGCCCUAUGGGUUGUAAACUUCUUUUAUAAAGGAAUAAAACGAGGCACGUGUGCCUUUUUGCAUGUACUUUAUGAAUAAGGAUCGGCUAACUCCGUGCCAGCAGCCGCGGUAAUACGGAGGAUCCGAGCGUUAUCCGGAUUUAUUGGGUUUAAAGGGAGCGUAGAUGGGUUGUUAAGUCAGUUGUGAAAGUUUGCGGCUCAACCGUAAAAUUGCAAUUGAUACUGGCAGUCUAGAGUACAGUUGAGGUAGGCGGAAUUCGUGGUGUAGCGGUGAAAUGCUUAGAGAUCACGAAGAACCCCGAUUGCGAAGGCAGCUUACUAAACUGUGACUGACAUUGAGGCUCGAAAGUGUGGGUAUCAAACAGGAUUAGAUACCCUGGUAGUC